GGAAGAUGAACCGGACAGGCGUGCCGGCACUGCCUUGAAAGCAGAGGGCGCCCAUUCACCAUGGGCGUGGGCUUCAAGUGCUCCAUCUUCCGCCA
rnacentral:tRNA from 1 species